AAUGUUGUGGCCAGGCCGUAAUGUGAUAAAAUCAAAAUUACGUUAAAGUCGGACCAAGAAAAGUCUGCAGCGGAUUUGAUAGCCCAUGCAGUGCAAGUGUUAUUUAUACGUCAUAAUUUCAUAGAAGUUUGACGUUUAAAAUAACACUUGCACUGCGUGGGCUAUCAAAUCCGCUGCAGACUUUUCUUGGUCUGACUCUAUCUUAAAUUUUUGUAAUGCAAAUUUUAAUUUUUCUUUUUCGCGGUAGGGGCUCUGAUCUGCUUCAUAAAAAUACACUCAUGGACAAAUUUAUAGCAACGCAAAGAAAAAAGUUUAGUUACUAAUUAUCAAAUUACUUUAGGUAAUUAAACCUUCUUUUUUGUUCCUCUUUUGUCCAUGAGUAUAUUUAUAUAACUUCCUAAUUCAAUUGAAUCUAGGAAUUCAGGACAAGAAAGCAUUGAGGACAAGAAAAGCAAAAUACUGUAACAUUAUUGUAUGAUAAAUAUAUGUAAUAACUGUCUUCUGCCCGACGCAAGACGCUCUAGUAUAUCUGAUGCACCCUAGGAAACCUAUUCGAACUAUAUUAUUUGAUCUCAUAUUGACAUCACUCAGUCCAUUUCGUUCGCACCAGCACCAUCGCCCACACUGUUAACUGACAGUAAACCUUAUUAUAAAAGGCAUAAGGUCCACCAAUGGUUAAGAGUCUUGCUGUUUGUACUACCCUCAUAAGCUUAAUAGUGGUAUCUCAAAAACAAAAUUGUAUUUUAACGUUUUGAACGCCAAACGUCGCAUCCAUUUGCCGUGCCACUGACGCCACGGGGGUAAAAUUUAGUUUUGUGAAUAAAUAAUGCCAACCUAAAAGUUGGGUGUUUUUCAUCAGUUUUUCAUCAGAAAACGAUUGACAAAUGCCGUCUUUGGCGUCGUUGUCACGAUUUUGCGUUGACGUCAAUUGCCAUCUGUGGCGUUCAAAAGGUUAAAAUAAAUCAUUUAAAGUAUUAAUUUUGUUUAUUUGAGAUUUAGCUAAUUGGCUUAUAAUUAUAACGGCAGAGUAUAUUUAAGUACGAUUAAGACGCAUUGAGUGAUGUAAAGAUUAUAUCAUUAUGAGAUCCUUAAAGUUCUUAUAGGCCUAGCUUUAGACUGUAAUUCCUAGUAUCUAUACAGUGAACAUGUCAAAAUAUAUUUACUAUUAUUUGUGUAUUUAUUCCCAAUUACCACUCUGUUCUUACAGAUAUAGUGCAUGAUUAUUUUCCUUCGUAGUUUCACGGAAACGUACGAACGUGUCUUGCUAUUUCAGUAAGUCUCGGUACAAAAAGUACUGAGGUUGACUGAAGUAGCGUGACAAAUACGAACGUUUCCGAGAAAAUACGAUGGAAACAAUUAUCCACUACAACUGUAUUUUGUGUGAACUUUUGUGGUUAGUUUCCUGCGCCUAUUUUACGAAAUGGGCGGAUAGCUACCACAAGUUAAAUGUCUGUAGUUUUAUUAUAUAAGAAUCCCACAAUUGUCAAACGUAACCAAAAGGCGCGUUCAAGGAAAUUAACUCUUUACCAGGCUAACAUUUAAAAAAUGACAAUCGAAUGUCAGUCUUACUCAUCGAAAAUAGAACACAUGUUUGAAGUGCCGUAUGUGGGAAAUAUAUAUCCCUUAGCCUGGUAAAGGGUUAAAAAAUUACCAGUUAUCUCAUUAACAAUGAUGUGAAACAUUUCUUGCUCCUAAUGAUUAAAUAACCUUGACUGUACAUUUAUAAAAUGCAAAAUAAUGCAAGUGUUUAGAACCCACGUAAACUGUCAUGAGAUACUUUGUUUUACAACUUUGCCCAGUCUGAAUGAUCCGGGCAAAGUUGUAAUAAAAUGAAAGUUGUAUUUUUUUGAUAUGGUGGACUGUAUACUUAUUAGAAAUUUUGAAUCUAAGAGUAUGUAUCUGUUAACGUUUUAAUAAAAGAAUACGUGUUUAAA